CCUACGGGGGGCAGCAGUGGGGGAUAUUGCACAAUGGGGGGAACCCUGAUGCAGCGACGCCGCGUGGGUGAAGGAGCGUUUCGGCGCGUAAAGCCCUAUCGGCAGGGAAGAAGAUGACGGUACCUGACCAAGAAGCCCCGGCUAAAUACGUGCCAGCAGCCGCGGGAAUACGUAGGGGGCAAGCGUUAUCCGGAUUUACUGGGUGUAAAGGGGGCGCAGACGGCAAUGCAAGCCAGGAGUGAAAGCCCGGGGCCCAACCCCGGGACUGCUCUUGGAACUGCAUGGCUGGAGUACAGGAGGGGCAGGCGGAAUUCCUAGUGUAGCGGUGAAAGGCGUAGAUAUUAGGAGGAACACCGGUGGCGAAGGCGGCCUGCUGGACUGUGACUGACGUUGAGGCCCGAAGGCGUGGGGAGCAAACAGGAUUAGAUACCCCUGUAGUC
rnacentral:rRNA from 1 species